GGAAUAUUGGACAAUGGGGGGAACCCUGAUCCCGCCAUGCCGCGUGUGUGAAGAAGGCCGUAUGGUUGUAAAGCACUUUAAGCGAGGAGGAGGCUCUUUUGGUUAAUACCCACGAUGAGUGGACGUUACUCGCAGAAUAAGCACCGGCUAACUCUGUGCCAGCAGCCUCGGUAAUACAGAGGGUGCGAGCGUUAAUCGGAUUUACUGGGCGUAAAGCGUGCGUAGGCGGCUUUUUAAGUCGGAUGUGAAAUCCCCGAGCUUAACUUGGGAAUUGUAUUCGAUACUGGGAAGCUAGAGUAUGGGAGAGGAUGGUAGAAUUCCAGGUGUAGCGGUGAAAUGCGUAGAGAUCUGGAGGAAUACCGAUGGCGAAGGCAGCCAUCUGGCCUAAUACUGACGCUGAGGUACGAAAGCAUGGGGAGCAA
rnacentral:rRNA from 1 species